CCUACGGGUGGCAGCAGUGAGGAAUAUUGGUCAAUGGCCGUAAGGCUGAACCAGCCAAGUCGCGUGAAGGAAGAAGGAUCUAUGGUUUGUAAACUUCUUUUAUAGGGGAAUAAAGGUAUCCACGUGUGGAUAUUUGCAUGUACCCUAUGAAUAAGCAUCGGCUAACUCCGUGCCAGCAGCCGCGGUAAUACGGAGGAUGCGAGCGUUAUCCGGAUUUAUUGGGUUUAAAGGGUGCGUAGGUUGUUUUUUAAGUCAGCGGGGAAAGUUUGUGGCUCAAUCAUAAAAUUGCCGUUGAAACUGGAAGACUUGAGUGUGUUUGAGGUAGGGGGAAUGCGGGGUGUAGCGGUGAAAUGCUUAGAUAUCACGAAGAACUCCGAUUGCGAAGGCAGCUCACUGGACUGCAACUGACACUGAGGGUCGAAAGUGUGGGUAUCAAACAGGAUUAGAUACCCCUUGUAGUC
rnacentral:rRNA from 1 species